rnacentral:lncRNA from 1 species
UGAUCUGUUGUUCAGGGGGCUGGUAUAAUUAGAGAUGAAGUUGGUGCUAGUGCAUUGGCUGGUCAAUGCUUUCCUCUUCUUUUUUUUUCCUUUGUUUAUUCUCUGAUCUUCCUUCCCCGGGUCUUUUUUUUUCUGUCUUUUUGUUCCCCUGUGUUUGCUCGUUCUCCCUUUUGCCUCUUGUCCCCCCUGUUGUCUUUCC